rnacentral:lncRNA from 1 species
GGGCCUCUGGAGCCAGUCUUCCCAAGGUGAAAUCCUAACUUUGCCACUUACUAGCCAUGUGAACUUGGGCAAGUGACCUAAUCCUCUGCAUUUCAUCUCUAAAUUGGGGAGAAUAGAAGCAUCUACUUCAUGUAGUAGCCAGGAUUAGAAGAGAUGGGGCCACUUGAGGGAAAAGACCUACCCAAGGGCACAUAAUCUGUACAUGAGAGAGAGCCAGAUGUAACAGACUGAGUACUGGACUUGGGGUUAAACAGACUGUGAAUCUUUCCACCCCAUUGGCAAGAAUAACUGGGCCCUGGAUAGAAUGUGAUGAAUGUAUAUUCUUAAUGAGAAGUGGAAAUAAUUUGUGGUUGAGAGCUGUGCCUCAGAUCAGAGUGACAGGAUACAUGGCUAGGCUAUAUUUUCCAGCAGAUUAAGAGCUGCGGCCCAAGACUCUGAAAUAUGAAGAAAAAAGGAGAAGAUGACAGCAUAUCUUUUUAAAGAAAUAUUUUCCAGCCAAAUGGUGUAGCAGAGGACUUCCAGGAAUUUGUUCUUGUUCUGUAUCAAAGGUGAAGAGUUCGUAGCCUUCAAGGAAACAAGAAACCAUGGGAUGGAGUGAAGGAAGGUGGCCUGGAACCAGCUGCUGAGCCUCUCUGAGCCCCAGUUUCCUCGUCUCUAAAAUGGGGCUGAUCUCCUCUCCCUCAGACUGUUGUUGCAGGAAUUAAAACAGCUUUUUACAUGCUGCACCAAUACUGGGUCUAGCUGCAGCUUGGCUGGGUCGCAGAGGCUGAAGAGGGAGCUAAGCCUGGAGAGCUGGGUUAAGUCAGACAGACCCAAAAUCUCUUACACUGAGUCUCAACUUAUUGUCCCUUGUGACUCCAAGGUCAACUUCCCUUCCCUGUUGGCUGAGGAUCCAGGUCUGGCUAAAUGCAUGAGGAUUAAAUUCCUUAUCUAUCAGGAUCCCAUUGGCUCUCGGAUGCUUUGUGGUUCCCUCCAUCCAGAAGAUUAACUACUCCUUUUGACCAAGACUGGCCUAAUGUGGCUGAUUUUUUUUUCUGAGAAGAUGCUGCUCACUUAUGCCCCCCAUCUUUCAACUGUCUCACUGGCCACUCCACAUUCUCCCUAAUGGGGGCCCUGCAGCAGCCUCUGCUUGGCCCCCCUGCCUCCCAUCUGGCCCCCUCCAACCCACUCUCCACAUUGAAGCCAGAUUUAGUUUUUUUGCCAAAUCCAGCCAUGUCACUCGCCUAUCUAAAAUACACUUUUGGCUUUUCUCUGCCAAUUGAAUAAAACUCCAAAUUUCUUUUUUUUUUUAAUUAUACUUUAAGUUCUAGGGUACAUGUGCACAACAUGCAGGUCUGUU